CAACGCCGCGUGAGGGAUGAAGGCCUCUGGGCUGUAAACCUCUUUUAUCAAGGAAGAAGAACUGACGGUACUUGAUGAAUAAGCCACGGCUAAUUCCGUGCCAGCAGCCGCGGUAAUACGGGAGUGGCAAGCGUUAUCCGGAAUUAUUGGGCGUAAAGCGUCCGCAGGCGGUUUUACAAGUCUGUCGUUAAAGCGUGGAGCUCAACUCCAUUUCAGCGAUGGAAACUGUAAGACUCGAGUGUGGUAGGGGCAGAGGGAAUUCCCGGUGUAGCGGUGAAAUGCGUAGAUAU
rnacentral:rRNA from 1 species